rnacentral:rRNA from 1 species
GAACGACUCUCGGNAACGGAUAUCUCGGCUCUCGCAUCGAUGAAGAACGUAGCGAAAUGCGAUACUUGGUGUGAAUUGCAGAAUCCCGUGAACCAUCGAGUUUUUGAACGCAAGUUGCGCCUUAGGCCAUCCGGCCGAGGGCACGUCUGCCUGGGCGUCAC